rnacentral:misc_RNA from 1 species
UCCGAGUUGUCCCCGGCAGUCUCCUAUGAGUCCCCGACAUAACUCGCUGGCAACAUAGGACAAGGGUUGCGCUCGUUGCGGGACUUAACCCAACAUCUCACGACACGAGCUGACGACAGCCAUGCACCACCUGUUAUGGGCCCUUUCGGACACAGUAUCUCUACUGCUUUUCCCAUAAUGUCAAACCCAGGUAAGGUUCUUCGGGUUGCAUCGAAUUAAGCCGCAUGCUCCGCCGCUUGUGCGGGGACCCGUCAAUUCCUUUGAGUUUUAAUCUUGCGACCGUACUCCCCAGGCGGAUGACUUCACGCGUUAGCUACGUUACUAAGGGAUUUAACUCCCCCAACAACUAGUCGUCAUCGUUUAGGGCGUGGACUAC